rnacentral:rRNA from 1 species
AGUGUAGGUGGCCAGGCAAGUCAGAAGUGAAAGCCCGGGGCUCAACCCCGGGACUGCUUUUGAAACUGCAGGGCUAGAGUGCAGGAGGGGCAAGUGGAAUUCCUAGUGUAGCGGUGAAAUGCGUAGAUAUUAGGAGGAACACCAGUUGCGAAGGCGGCUCUCUGGACUGUAACUGACACUGAGGCACGAAAGCGUGGGGAGCAAACA